rnacentral:sRNA from 1 species
AUACGGUACGCCGCGAAAGUCCGCCUUC